AGGAGAUAAAAAUUUCGAAUGAAAUAUAAAAAAUAUUUAUAACGCUUCAAAGGGUCAAAUAUGAGUGAAAAUGUACUCGAAAGAUACAAUUUUCUUUUACAACACUUGUGGUUUUACUGACAUCAUGAACCUCACGAUCAUGCAAAUACAAGAAACAGCGAGAAAAGCGAUAGCGAAAGACUUGGAAAAAAAUUGGCGAUGCCGCGAUGUUCCGAGUUAGAAAAGCGAAAAAAUGGAUCAGCGAUAUCUCUCCUUCCCCUUUCAGCUUUCUCAUCGGCUGGCACGAACCGUAAAAUCGCGAGACAAUAUUAUGAUGAUGAUUACACAAUGAGAGAAAAACCAGUAUAAAAAGAACGCAGCGUAAUAUUCACAAUGAAGAAAGUUACGAGGUCCGGCAGGAACGUUAUUUAAUCGCAAGAGCUACAAACUAUUGUCACGAGGACAGCGAUAACUAUUAUUGUUAUAAAAAUAGUAAUACAACUGGUCGGAGAAACUUUCUGCCCCUUUCUAUGCUUUUUUCCGGUUUCUUCCGAACAUCUUCACGCACGACUAAUAUUUUCCACGGUUUCUUCGUUAAUUACCAUGAUUUGUACAAAGAAAUCGCAUAAUGCCAUUACCCAGCACGAUUCUAUUAGAAAUUGAAUAUUUUCCUUUUAUUUAAACUGCGAUAUGUUCCUGGUUAUAACGUGAACAAUUGUAAUAAAAUUCUAUCAUUCAACCGUAAAGAGAAACUCUGUCACUUUUUACAAUUUUCCACACGCAAAGAUGCUCGUUAUAGCAUAUGUUAAUUAUAUUGUAUUCAUGCUCGAGGAGGCGAAUGAACGCGUGACAGUGUGCGUUGGAACGAAGAAUUCGAUAAUAUUAAAUACUAUUUAAAGAAAAUAACAUUAGGACACUUCGAGAGGUCUUAACGGUAAAAGACUAAAUAAUAAACUGAUUUCACGAACGACGAAUAGCUCCUCAACGAUCGUUGAAUAGUAAAAUUACAAUCGUGAGACUAUAACGCGAUAAUUACAGCACGAGGUAGCGCGAAGACUCGAAUAAGAACAGACUAUAUAUAUCGAUCGAACUGUUAUUACUUUCUUUUUUUACAAUAAUAUAAUAUAUAGAAUAAAGUUUAGAUGUGUGAAUGUCGAAUAACUGAUUCUAUCCGUCGUUCUUGAAAUGGAAGAAACAACUCGUCGAGCGAAUUUUGUCGGUUAAAUAAGACCGCCGUAGAACAACUAUAUUUGUCUUUUUUUUUUCCUUUCUUUUUUUUUAUAUUUUUUCCUCUUUUUUUCUUUUAAACUUGUUAAUAUCU
rnacentral:misc_RNA from 1 species